GUGUGUGACAGUAUCACAUCGCGCUGGUUGUGCUGGAAGUGGGAUCAUCCUGCGAGGCUGCUGCAGAUUCCGUGUGGUUGGCGGAGCUGCGGAACCAUCCCUGAGAUUCUGUGUGAGAAGUGGAGCUCUGUGAGGGUCCUGGGAUAUAGUGUGAGGAGCUCUGUGAGAAUUCUGGGAUAUAGUGUGAGGACAGGAGCUCUGUGAGAAUUCUGCAAUAUUGUGUGAGGAGCUCUGUGAGAAUUCUGGAAUAUUGUGUGAGGAGCUCUGUGAGAAUUCUGGAAUAUUGUGUGAGGACAGGAGCUCUGUGAGAAUUCUGGAAUAUUGUGUGAGGACAGGAGCUCUGUGAGAAUUCUGGAAUAUUGUGUGAGGACAGGAGCUCUGUGAGAAUUCUGGAAUAUUUUGAGGAGCGGGACUGGACCCAUCUAGCCUGCAACCUCCCACUCUGUGUGAACAGCAGGACUUCACACGGU